rfam:Methyloglobulus morosus KoM1 MGMO_9c, whole genome shotgun sequence.
CGCUGUUUUCGGCUAGGCGGAGUUCGACCAUCCGCCCAAGCGAUGACGGCGUUCAUUGACGGUCACCGCGAUGUUUACGGGGUCGGGCCGAUUGACAGGGGGUAAUGGCCCUC